CGCGGAGCUGGCGGGUCAGAGCGCGCGCGCGUUUCUCCCCUUUCUGCCCAACUCUGACCUUGAGGGAGACAAUAAAAGAGGGUCAGAGCGCGCGCCUGGGGCAAGCCGAGCCACCGGGAGCCUUCUACAGGUGUGUGUGAGGACGAGUCUUGCGGCCCGGAGUGUUUACUGCGUGCCGCUGUAUGGAGCUGAGUGAGUGGCGCGAGGCCACCCUGGAGCUGCGCAGACGCAGGGACUGGACGGAAAGAUGCAUGUCUGGAUCCCUGAUCAGAUGGAGGCCUCAGCAUGGAGAUUAAAACAAAGUAGAUGGAUGGAAAGAUGGAAGGGUCUGUGUUGUCCCCUUCUCCGUGCAUCCUCCCUACGGACCUCCUCACGGCUGUUCUGUGUGACAGAGAACCCUAACAAAUGGCGACCAGUCUACACUGCUGAUGUCAUCUCUGAUUAUAAGAGCGAGCUCAGACGCUUGACCUUAUAUCUACUCCAUAGCUGACAGUGCACACCAUGCUAUGCUAAAACGUUACCUACACUGCUGGCACUCUGACCAAAGCUACUGAUGAACACAUGUUUAAAAGGAGUUUGUAAGCAGAACCAGUAAGACACUCUACACAUCCCUCCUUCACUAGUUCUUCAUAGGAUUCUCGACAUAGCUGGAUUUGAGCUUUAUGAGUUUUGAGCAGUUGUGUAUCAGUUUCACAACUGACAAACUCCAGCAGGUUUUUUUUAACGAGCACAUGUUCGUUUUGGAGCAGGAGGAAUAUAACAGAUGGCACUGAAUGGACUUUUAUUGACUUUGGCUUAGACCUCCAUUGACCUCAUUGAGUAGGAGAAUCUUAACAAGCUGAUGACCAACCUGAGGAGCACUCAGUCUCACUUCGAAUGCUGCAGCAUUUCUGUAAUGCAGACCUACAAGAACUACUUGAGACUACUGCUAGUACCAACAAAGCACCACAUCUUCAUUUAGACAUUUAAAUGGGUACCUCUUCACCUGCUGCUCUAAGGUAUGAUGGAGGUGUUCCUGGUCCUUCACCACUUAAUGGAGUUCUAGAGGACAAUUGCAUCUACAGGAUGGGAUUUUCUACCCAAAUCUUGUGUGCCAAGUUUAAACAGUGUUAUUGAAUCUUGAACCCUUCUACCAUUCCAAAGGACAAAUGGACAAUGAGACUAUGAGGCUGCAGAUAAACUUCUAAGCUUGCUGGAUACUGACCACAUGCAAUACAGGGGAAAGCACUGACCUGAGUAAGUGGUUUGGUUAAGCAGGCAAGACAGUCCUUUAGACCAAAUGUAAAAGUCUCUGGAUUAAGAGUGACAUCCAGGCAGCACUGGAGGAACCUGUUUGGUUGCAGAGGUCAGGAUGAAGAUGAUGUAGGAAGACCUAAAUAAGAUGCUGUUCCAGCUCAGCUAUGCUAACAAACAGACAGCUGCAUCACAAAAACUAGUUCACUACCAACAAAGUAGCCAUUUCUCCACCUUACCUUCUACACUGAAGUAAUGUGACAUCAGCUUCAAUAUGUCAACAAAACUAUACAAACUAAAAUGAAGAGAUCAAUCCAAUCAACAUGUAUCUUUAUCUUCUUUAUAUCUUAUCUAUAAAUAAGCAAGACACAUGAAGGCCAAGUAGCAUGAACAAAUAAAGGAAACGGAGCUUGAUGAGUCUCUGCAUCAGUGUGAAGGUCUCGAGAAAAUCUUGCUGGCUCCUGAACUGGAAAAGCUCCAAACAAUAAUUGAACAAAUCGGCCAAAUGUGCAAGCCUCCUGGAAUCCAGUGAGAGUGAAUAUUUUAUAUGCCCAGAAGAGAAACAAAACUAGCACACAAAUACCAUACAGAGAAGUAAUAAAACCAAUACUGAUCUGUCUGUGCACUGAUGUUGAUUGUGUGCUGAACCAGAUAAAGAAGCUGGAACAUGUUAUCUUGAUGGUGGCGGUGAUGCAAGGAUUUCUGCAGUGCUCAGGAGAAGGCCAAGAAACCCUACAAGAUAAAGAGUUAGUGCGUAGUGUCUCAUCUUAAAGCAUUCUGCCUUGCUUGCAUUACAUAUCACAACUUCUAGGAAAGCACACACACUGUUCAUAUUGGUCUACAUCACUGCGCAAGUACAGGUUGCUUUGACUGUGUAUAAGCUGGAAGGAAAGGACAAUACCAACAUGACCCAUUUCAGAAAGAUCCACCACAAUGCAGAGGAGAGCAGACAUGGACGAGUUUCUAGCCAACCGACUGUGCCUUUGCACAAGAGAGACACAUCGUCAAGCCAUAAGUGCUCCUAUAUUUAGAGCAGGUGAUUUCACAUGGUGAUGAAGCAUGCUCCUGAUUAAAUUUCUGGUUUACACAUUGUUGUGGACAAGGAUUCUUAAUAUAGAGUUUACUUUUUUUAAGCAAUGUAGACAGAAAAAGAUCAUAACCUGUGUGGUACACAGUAGAGCUUUCAUAUAGUAACAAGAUGUUUUUUUGAAACUCCUACAUUUCUCUGGAUGCCCAAGUCUGGAAAUGACUAGAAAUUUUAAAUAAAGCUAAACAAAGAGAA